rnacentral:rRNA from 1 species
UACGGAGGGGGCCAGCGUUGCUCGGAAUUAUUGGGCGUAAAGGGCGCGUAGGCGGCUUGGUAAGUUUGAUGUGAAAUCCCAUGGCUCAACCAUGGAACUGCAUCUCAUACUGCCGAGCUAGAGUCUGGGAGAGGGGAAGCGGAAUUCCCGGUCGUAGCGGUGAAAAUGCGUAGAUAUCGGGAGGAACACCAGUGGCGAAGGCGGCGACCUGGGCCAAUACUGACGCUGAGGUGCGAAAGCGAGGGGAGCAACAGGGG